rnacentral:rRNA from 1 species
AGUGAACGCUGGCGGUAGGCCUAACACAUGCAAGUCGAACGGCAGCACAGUAAGAGCUUGCUCUUACGGUUGGCGAGUGGCGGACGGGUGAGGAAUACAUCGUAAUCUACUUUUUCGUGGGUGAUAACGUAGGGAAACUUACGCUAAUACCGCAUACGACCUACGGGUGAAAGCAGGUGAUCUUCGGACCUUGCGCGUUUGAAUGAGCCGAUGUCGGAUUAGCUAGUUGGCGGGGUAAAGGCCCACCAAGGCGACGAUCCGUAGCUGGUCUGAGAGGAUGAUCAGCCACACUGGAACUGAGACACGGUCCAGACUCCUACGGGAGGCAGCAGUGGGGAAUAUUGGACAAUGGGCGCAAGCAUGAUCCAGCCAUACCGCGUGGGUGAAGAAGGCCUUCGGGUUGUAAAGCCCUUUUGUUGGGAAAGAAAAGCAGCAGGUUAAUACCCCGCUGUUCUGACGGUACCCAAAGAAUAAGCACCGGCUAACUUCGUG